rnacentral:rRNA from 1 species
UACGAAGGGGGCUAGCGUUGCUCGGAAUCACUGGGCGUAAAGCGUGCGCAGGCGGUUUGCUAAGACCGAUGUGAAAUCCCCGGGCUUAACCUGGGAACUGCAUUGGUGACUGGCAGGCUAGAGUAUGGCAGAGGGGGGGUAGAAUUCCACGUGUAGCAGUGAAAUGCGUAGAGAUGUGGAGGAAUACCGAUGGCGGAGGCAGCCCCCCUGGGCCAAUACUGACGCUCAUGCACGAAAGCGUGGGGAGCAAACAGG